GACGAACGCUGGCGGCGUGCUUAACACAUGCAAGUCGAGCGCCCGUAGCAAUACGGGAGCGGCAGACGGGUGAGUAACACGUGGGAACGUGCCCAAAGGUACGGAACAACUCCGGGAAACUGGAGCUAAUACCGUAUGUGCCCGAAAGGGGAAGAUUAUCGCCUUGGAUCGGCCCGCGUCUGAUUAGCUAGUUGGUGAGGUAAUGGCUCACCAAGGCGACGAUCAGUAGCUGGUCUGAGAGGAUGAUCAGCCACACUGGGACUGAGACACGGCCCA
rnacentral:rRNA from 1 species